rnacentral:tRNA from 1 species
UCCCUGCUGGCUCAGAUGGUAAAGAAUCCGCCUUCAAUCUGGGAGUCCCUGGUUCGAUCCCUGGGUGGGGAA